rnacentral:rRNA from 1 species
UUACCGGCUUGACAUGAAAGAGAUUCCUCCGGGCACAGGUGCUGCACGGCUGUCGUCAGCUCGUGUCGUGAGAUGUUGGGUUAAGUCCCGCAACGAGCGCAACCCCGUUUUAGUUGCCAGCAUAUGGGACUCUAGAAGACUGCCGGUGUUAACCGGAGGAAGGUGUGGACGACGUCAAGUCAUCAUGGCCCUUAUGCCGGGCUACACACGUGUUACAAUGGGGCACACGGGGCAUAGCAAUAGAUGCAAUCCCUAAACCAUCCCAGUUCGGAUUGUAGGCUGCAACUCGCCUACAUGAAGUCGGAAUCGCUAGUAAACGCAAUCAGAAUGUGCGUUGAAUGUGUUCCCGGGUCUUGUACACACCGCCCGUCACACCAUGGAAGUUUGAAGCCGAA